CCCCCCCCCCGUCUCCCCUCCCCCACCCCAUCCAGCCUCACGGGACCCACAGGCAGUUCUCUCAAUGCGCCGAGGCUCUGUGACGUCCGCCCACAGCGCUGCUCUCCCUUUUCUCAUCGACUACAUCCUAAUUCUUCAAGGCUCCAUCCAGAUGCCACUUCAUCUGCAAAUACUUCCUGAAUCUUCCUGAGUCUAAGUGAAUUAUGCUUUAACGCAGGCUAGCAGGAUUUUAGCGAGUCGUCACUGAUGUUUGUUUCGCCAGCUUCCACAUCUCCCUGUCAACUCCUGUUUCUCGGCAGUCCUGUGGGCCAGCGUCCUGGCUGUCUCAGAUAUCACGUGAGCAGCAGCGCCCCCUGCCCACCCCCAGCACCAGGAGAGGCAUGCCCACUCCUCCCAGGCCAUGGUUUCCUUCUGGGACCGAUGCCCAGGAAGCGUGGAGCAGGCGGAGAAAAGAUAUCAUCAAGCCUCAGCCACUUGAAAGAGAUUUUUCUCAAACUGGGAGAUGGCGAUUACAGAGGAUUAUGAAGAAAUUCCUAGAAGUGAGAGAGCUAUUUGCACAUCGUUGUUGAAUUAUUGAAUGGCAAAACCUGAGCCAAAGUGAAGAAGACAAGUCAGCACCUGGCACUCUUACAUUUCCUCCCGUCCCUUCUUUCCUCAAGCAAUACCUGCUGAGGGCUCAGAAGGGCUGCUGUGAGCCUGAGCGGCUGUGCGUGUUGGUGGCUGCAAUGAAGUAGAGUGUGGCGUCUCUCCAGGAGGUGUGAGUGUGUGUGUGUAAGUGAUGUGAAACAGGCUAUGCUGAGAGCCAGGAGAUGCGCAACCCUCUACCCUUAAAUUUCACGUCCCAGAAAUAAAAUAAAUUUAAAUUCAACCCACCUCAUCUUUUCUGUAUAUAAAGUAGAAAUUAUUUGUUGACACCCAGUGCUUCAGAGGAUAUAACCACAAGAUAGGAAAUAAUAC
rnacentral:lncRNA from 1 species